GACUCUUUUGAUUUUGAUUGUUGCUCAGAAAGCCUUACACAGAAUUGGCUUUCGGGCGAUAAUCAAUUUCACAAGAGGU
rnacentral:pre_miRNA from 14 species